rnacentral:rRNA from 1 species
GAUAAACGCUGGCGGCGUGCAUAACACAUGCAAGUCGAACGAUGAAACUUAACUGAUUUCUUCGGAAUGAUUUUAAGUGGAUUAGUGGCGGACGGGUGAGUAACGCGUGAGUAACCUGCCUUGCACAAGGGGAUAGCCGUUGGAAACGACGAAUAAUACCCUAUGAUAUAAACUCUUCGCAUGAAGAGCUUAUCAAAGAUUUAUCGGUGUAAGAUGGACUCGCGUCUGAUUAGCUAGUUGGUGGGGUAACGGCCUACCAAGGCAACGAUCAGUAGCCGGCUUGAGAGAGUGUACGGCCACAUUGGGACUGAGACACGGCCCAGACUCCUACGGGAGGCAGCAGUGGGGAAUUUUGCACAAUGGGGGCAACCCUGAUGCAGCGACGCCGCGUGAUUUAGAAGGCCUUCGGGUUGUAAAAAUCUUUUGUAUGGGAAGAAAAUGACAGUACCAUACGAAUAAGGACCGGCUAAUUACGUG